UGGCUCAGAACGAACGCUGGCGCCGCGCUUAACACAUGCAAGUCGAGCGAGAACCAGGGCUUCGGCCCUGGGGAAAGCGGCGAACGGGUGAGUAACACGUGAGUCAUCCACCCUCGGUACCGGGAUAACCGAGGGAAACUUCGGCUAAUACCGCAUGCGCCCGCGGAGUUGAUCCGCGGGGAAAGAUUUAUCGCAGCAGGAGGGGCCCGCGUCGGAUUAGCUGGUUGGUGGGGUAACGGCCCACCAAGGCGAUGAUCCGUAGCUGGUCUGAGAGGAUGAUCAGCCACACUGGGACUGAGACACGGCCCAGACUCCUACGGGAGGCAGCAGUGGG
rnacentral:rRNA from 1 species